rnacentral:tRNA from 1 species
GCAUUCGUGGUGUAGUGGUCAGCACGUUCGACCCGUAACCGAGAGGCCCUUGUUCGAUUCUCGGCGAAGACG